rnacentral:rRNA from 1 species
UACGAAGGGGGCUAGCGUUGUUCGGAUUUACUGGGCGUAAAGCGCACGUAGGCGGAUCGUUAAGUCGGGGGUGAAAUCCUGGAGCUCAACUCCAGAACUGCCUUCGAUACUGGCGAUCUCGAGUCCGGAAGAGGUGAGUGGAACUCCUAGUGUAGAGGUGGAAUUCGUAGAUAUUAGGAAGAACACCAGUGGCGAAGGCGGACUCACUG